ACUUUUGUAAGAGAAAGAGUCCUCCGAGUCUCAGCAAUUCCUCUGAUUUUAUGGGAAUGAAGAACCCCUCCCUCAGAGCAGCAUAAAAUCCUAAUGUAACCGAAAAGACUUAUUGAAUUAAAUAGCAACAUGGCUA